ACGGGAGGCAGCAGUCGGGAAUAUUGCGCAAUGGAGGAAACUCUGACGCAGUGACGCCGCGUAUGGGAAGAAGGUUUUCGGAUUGUAAACCAUUGUCGUUAGGGAAGAAAAAAUGACAGUACCUAAGGAGGAAGCACCGGCUGACUAUGUGCCAGCAGCCGCGGUAAUACAUAGGGUGCAAGCGUUAUCCGGAUUUAUUGGGCGUAAAGGGUGCGUAGACGGGAAUUUAAGUUGGUUGUGAAAUCCCUCGGCUCAACUGAGGAACUGCAACCAAAACUGAAUUUCUUGAGUGUCGGAGAGGAAAGUGGAAUUCCUAGUGUAGCGGUGAAAUGCGUAGAUAUUAGGAGGAACACCGGUGGCGAAGGCGACUUUCUGGACGAUAACUGACGUUGAGGCUCGAAAGCGUGGGGAGCAAACAGGAUUAGAUACCCUGGUA
rnacentral:rRNA from 1 species